GACGAACGCUGGCGGCGUGCCUAAUACAUGCAAGUAUAACGCUGAAGGAGGAUCUUGCUCUUCUGGAUGAGUUGCGAACGGGUUAGUAACUCGUAGGUAACCUGCCUGGUAGCGGGGGAUAACUAUUGGCAACGAUAGCUAAUACCGCAUAAGAGUAGAUGUUGCAUGACAUUUACUUAAAAGGUGCAAUUGCAUCACUACCUGAUUGACCUGCGUUGUAUUAGCUAGUUGGUGGGGUAACGGCUUACCAAGGCGACGCUACAUAGCCGACCAGAGAGGGUGAAAGGCGACACCGGGACUGAGACACGGCCCAGACUCCGACGGGGGUCAGCAGUAGGGAAUUAUCGGAAAUAGACGGAAGGAAGACCGAGCAACGCCGCGUGAGUGAAGAAAGGUAUUGGAUCGUAAAGCUGUGUUGUAAGAGAAGAAAGAGUGUGAGAGGGGAAAGUGAAAAAUGUGACGGUACCUUACCAGAAAGGGACGGCUAAAUACGUG
rnacentral:rRNA from 1 species